CACUCUACGCCGCUGGCUUACGU
rnacentral:miRNA from 1 species